UACAGGGGGUGCAAACGUUGCUCGGAAUCAUUGGGCGUAAAGCGCACGUAGGCGGUCUGUUAUGUCGGAUGUGAAAGCCCUUGGCUUAACUGAGGAAGUGCAUCCGAAACUGGCAGGCUAGAGUACUAAAGAGGGUCGCGGAAUUCCCGGUGUAGAGGUGAAAUUCGUAGAUAUUCGGAAGAACACCAGUGGCGAAGGCGACUCACUGGACAACUGUUGACGCUGAGGUGCGAAAGCGUGGGGAGCAAACAGG
rnacentral:rRNA from 1 species